UCAGCCUGAAAAUGUUCUCCGGUUUGACCGUAACCUGAGGUCAGAUAUCUGAGCCCACAGCACGGCGGCCCAUUAAGCUUAUCGUCUGCUCCUGUGUAGGCAGGCCGAUAAAACCCAUGGGCCUACAAAG
rnacentral:snoRNA from 12 species